AUAGCGGAGUAUUAGGAGUCAUCUCACAAAAUCCACCCACCACCUUUCUGUGUUCGAUUUACUCUCUCUCUUGAUGGAACCUGAAAUUCUUUAGUAAAAUUGAAACAUUCAGUUUUACCUGUCUCUUUGGGAGAAGAAGAGAAGGGAGAAAAAUUACAACCUUUCCCUUCUCCUCUCUUCUCUCUCUCCCCCCUAACAAAAAACUAUGCAAUUCCAGGCCAGCUUCUUCAUUAGCAACUUAUUCCCUUUCCCAUUGCGGCCGGGACUUAAACGUCCUCGGCCAUCACCCACCGCUUCAUCCUAUGAGACUCCUCUCUUCUGCCUCUGCUCCCUCUGUUAAUUCCGAUGGCUUGGCGCCCUCGCCCUCGCCUUCCACGUCUUCAUCCUUGUCCCGUUUGAUUGCUUCUCCGCAUGGUCCAUUUGAAUUAAUAUUCACAGAUCCAACUUCUAAACCCACUGUCAUCCUCCCUACUAUUCCUGCUGUUGACGGCAUUUCUGAUUUGGCUGACAUCUCGUUAGUUCUCGGUAUUCUUUUUCUCUCCCUUUUCUCUUUCGCUCUUAUUUUCCACCUCCGUAUUAGAUCCCGUCAAUUGCCUCAUUUACAGAAUUUCAAUUCUCUCUGGGUUGUCAGAUUGCUUCUCGUCUUUUUUGCUUGUCUUGGUGCUGUUAACGAAGUCAUUCGCCUGCCCUUCAUUCGCCAAAAAUAUCUUUACCCUCUUUUACCAUCUCUCUCCCUGGAUGAACAAGCUGAGAUUUGUAAGGUUCACGUGGUUCUCUCUUUGGGAUUCUUCGAACCAGGUUUCCUAAUUACUCUUCUUUUCUUGGUCAACGAGUCGAUCAAGACGCAAAAUCCUUUUCGAACGUGGGGGGUUGCACUCGUCUGCUUGGCGUGUUCUCCAAUCCUCCUACUGCAAUCGUUCUUCGUGUUCUUUCCACCUUUGGAAGCAAAAUUACCCCCAUACAUUCACGCGAGUUUUUACCUUUCAACUGACCAGGUCGGAAACAAAUCAGUUCUUUGCACCUAUCCAAUGUUCAGUUGCGUUGCGUUUGGGGUAUUCAGCGUUGCUUAUUCGUUAGCAUUUUUGUUGUCAUGUUGGAGGGUGGUUGCGUUUGUGAUCAACAAGAAAAUUCGGGUACGGCUGAACAUGCUUGCCACAUCGUUCAUGAUAUUAUUGCCGUUACAGAUUCUUUGCUUAGGAUUGUCGGCGUUGUGGCCACCGGCACAUCCUACACAUGAAUACAUUGUACUGGCGAUGGACCUUGCCUUUGCAUGGUGCGUGGUGAUUGGGGAGGUCAUUUUGGUAAUAAAGCCAAUUGCAGAUGCAUUAGAUGCCGGUGGAGCAUGUUUCGCCUGGAGUCCCGGAAGCAGGUCAGGGUGUCCUAGAAGUGAGGGGAAGAGGGUGGAUAAUGGGAAUCUAUAGCAAUGAACAGAGGACAUGAAGGGCAUCAUGGUCUGAUCACGUUCCAAUCAUUGUUUUUCAAGAGAGAAAUGAGGGGGCCAAUUUUUGACUAUUUCAGUGUGUAUAUGCUUGGUGGAUUCAUCAAGCAUAGAGGGGAGGGGGUUAUUUAGUAUCAGUUGUAACUCACAGAAUCUUGAUUAAGCAGUUCGUAGCUUCCAGCCAGAAGUCAAUAAGUUCUCUUCAUUUGAGGACUCAAGUCAGUUAUAAUUCUAGUAUUUUAUUAUGAUUCAAUUGUAUUAAUUAGAAAUAUUUGGGGGUCAUGUUCCGGCUACUUGUAGUCAGUAUUAGUAGAGGCUUCAUAGGCAGGCAGGCAAGCAUAGUUGAGGCACUCAGUUUUAGUUUUCUUUUUGUAUAAUCCAGUGAUGUAAAUGAUUUUAAACAGUAUUGUAUUGAACAAGUUCAGCUAAUGACAUUGCUUCCGCUUAGUAUUUCUA